GACGAACGCUGGCGGCGCGCCUAACACAUGCAAGUCGAACGAGCGAGCGAGAGCUUGCUUUCUCGAGCGAGUGGCGAACGGGUGAGUAACGCGUGAGGAACCUGCCUCAAAGAGGGGGACAACAGUUGGAAACGACUGCUAAUACCGCAUAAGCCCACGACCCGGCAUCGGGUCGAGGGAAAAGGAGCAAUCCGCUUUGAGAUGGCCUCGCGUCCGAUUAGCUAGUUGGUGAGGUAACGGCCCACCAAGGCGACGAUCGGUAGCCGGACUGAGAGGUUGAACGGACACAUUGGGACUGAGACACGGCCCAGACUCCUACGGGAGGCAGCAGUGGGGAAUAUUGCACAAUGGGGGAAACCCUGAUGCAGCGACGCCGCGUGGAGGAAGAAGGUCUUCGGAUUGUAAACUCCUGUUGUUGAGGAAGAUAAUGACGGUACUCAAAAAGGAAGUGACGGCUAACUACGUG
rnacentral:rRNA from 1 species